rnacentral:rRNA from 1 species
CAGUAGCCGCGGGAAUACGGAGGGGGCUAGCGUUGUUCGGAAUUACUGGGCGUAAAGCGCACGUAGGCGGCUUUGUAAGUUAGAGGUGAAAGCCCGGAGCUUAACUCCGGAAUUGCCUUUAAGACUGCAGAGCUAGCAGGUGAGAGAGGUGAGUGGAAUUCCGAGUGUAGAGGUGAAAUUCGUAGAUAUUCGGAAGAACACCAGUGGCGAAGGCGGCUCACUGGCUCAUACUGGACGCUGAGGUGCGAAAGCGUGGGGAGCAAACAGGAUUAGAUACCCCCGUAGUCCCUGUCUCUUAUAC